UCCUUAUAUUAUAUACAACAUCAAGCAUCCCAUACUACCUCAUGUGCGACUUUGAGCACCCCAUAAUACCCAAAUCCCUAAUACAUUGCUUUAAGGUCUUCUAAGUUCUGGAAAAACCACACUCCUUUUGGCUCUGGCAGGAAAGCUUGGUCAAGAUCUUAAGGUUAGUGGCAGAGUUACCUAUAAUGGCCAUGAAAUGAAUGAGUUUGUACCUCAAAGAACUGCAGCAUACAUUAGCCAGAAUGAUGUUCAUAUUGGAGAAAUGACUGUGAGGGAAACCUUGGCUUUCUCAGCAAGGUGUCAAAGGGUUGGUUCAAGAUUUGACUUGCUUUCUGAACUAACAAGACGAGAGAUAGCAGCAAAAAUUAAACCCGACCAAGAUAUCGAUAUAUACAUGAAGGUGAAAGGAACUAACUCCAUGCUCCACUGGAAAAUCUGCAUAGCAAAUUAUAAAGCAUUACUGUUUCUAUA